rnacentral:rRNA from 1 species
UCGGCUCAUCACAUCCUGGGGGUGGAGAAGCUCCCAAGGGUUUGGCUGUUCGCCAAUGAAAGUGGUACGUGAGCUGGGUUCAGACCGUCGUGAGACAGGUCGGUCCCUAUCUACUGUGGGCGCACGAAACUUGAGGAGGUUCUUCUUUAGUACGAGAGGAUUUAGAAGGACGACCCUCUGGUGUUCCAGUUGUCGCGCUAGCGGCACGGCUGGGUAGCUAAGGUCGGAACGGAUAAACGCUGAAGGCAUCUAAGCGUGAAGCCCGCUCCAAGAUUAGGUUUCGUAGGGUAAUACCCGAAAGUCCCCUGGAAGACGACCAGGUAACAUAGGCCGGAUGUGUAAGUGCAGUAAUGCAUUCAGCUAACCGGUACUAACGGACGAACGCUUGGCCACAU